rnacentral:lncRNA from 1 species
AGUACAUACCAGGAUGCACAAGAGGACGAGUCCUCAGCAGAGGAGCUCUCUUCUCAGCCUUGCCAGCAACAGUGUGCUCUUUGGGUCUUCUAUUUCACAUGCAGUGCAUCUAACAGUUUACUGUCUGCCAGGCUGCCAAACCCCAACCCUCGCCACAUCCGCAGCCACCACGUAAAGUGACUGUUAGAACUUCAAACGAAGGAUCUGACCCCCGGAAAUGGCCUCAUGCUAGUUUUUUCCUAAACAGUCACCAGGAAAAUGACGGAAGGCAAAUCGAAACGCAUGCCCUGAAAGACUUAGAACAUAACCAUCACAUCUGGGGGACAAGAAGCCCACCCCAACUUAAUUUAAAAAGGAAACACAGCAGAUGUCAUCAGUUGGCAGGGAGGUGUCUUGAAGGAAAGAAGGAGGGGAAUGAGAGGGCUGUGGAUCACCAUGCAGCUUUACCUUAACACCUGCAUCUCCUCGGGGGAGCAUUGCAUCUCGUCCUGGAGGCGACGCCAGCGCAGACAAGCCCUCAGCUCCUGCUGCUCCCGGGCCUCAUAGGGGGCCAGCUGCUCAGCCACAGACACACAGACACACAUGCACAAAACACAGUCACUGUUGUGGUCCUGGUGCAAUGGCUCACUUUGUUUCAAUGGGGGACAAGAUAGCCUGCCCCUGCUCUCACCUUGCUUCCAUCAGAAACCUAAAGGCCACUGGAGCCUCUUAGUGCCUAAAACAAAAAACCAACCGUGCACGCUCGCUUGUGCUGCUGGCCGUGGAGCUGGGCCUGCUGUUUGGCGGAGGUCGCCUUGUUCUGGAACCCACCCAUCCCACCGACACACACCUGGUCUGGAGAGAGUGGGCUUCCCUUGGGACCAUUUCCACUUUGAUCUGUCCUCUUUUCCUGCUUUGUCUUUCUGCACAGGAUGGGGAAGGCCCCACCGUUCACCUCCGAUUUUCCCCAGCCCUCAAUUUUGUUAAGGACUGUUUCCAGCGGGGCCUGCUAAUGCAACCCAGAUGAUUCUGUGUGCACAUAACUAGAAGUGCUGCCUGGACUCACUCUGGGGGAGGGGAGGCCAUCACACUCUGCCCUACUGAGUCAGAACCAGCUGCCGUCCCAUGGUGUGCUCACUGGGCCACACGGCCCCGACCUCUGUGAGGGAAGGCAGCAGAGCACCCACUGGGGAGGGAAGACGUCUAUCCACGGGUGUUUCUGGAAAUCAAACUUUCCUGAUAAUUCGUUCAACAGAUAUUUACUGAGUCUCUGCUAGGCCAUGGGGACAUUACAGACAGGGCCUGGGGCAGCAGCCAGGGGAGGGAGAGAUGGGCAGGAACACUAACAUCAGAGAGCAGGUGACGGGAGAGGUGAAGGGAGAACCCAGAUGCCCCCUUGCCCACCAGGGCUUCCUGAGGAGGUGGUGGUGACAGCACUGAUCCUCAGGGAAGGAGGAGUCGGCCGGGGAGGAGGGAUUUCGGGAAGAGCACUUGCAAGGCACGUCGGGCCAGGAAGUGUGUGAUGUGCUUAGAGAAUGGCAAGGCAUAUGGUCAGGCCUGGAGCAGACUACCAUUCUGGGAGGGAGCAAGGUGCAGGGAAGCUGGCAGAGGCCAGACGAUCCUCAGACCCCAUGUGCCUGCUGUUAUGGACUAAACUGUGUCUCCACAAAAUAUAUGUGUUGAAGGCCUUACCCCGGUGUGACUGUAUUUGGAGAUAAGGCUUUCAAGGAGGUCAUUAAGGUUAAGUAAGUCAUGAGUGGGGCCCUAAUCCUACAGGGCUGGUGUUCUUAUAAGAAGAGGAAGAGCCAACAGAGCGUACUUUCUCUCUGCAUGCACAGAGGAAAGGCCAUAUGAGAACGCAGAGAAAAAGCAGCUCGUGGCCACCUGCAAGCCAGGAAGAGUGAGGGGCCUCACCAGAAACCAACCCUGCUGGCACCUUGGUCUUGGACUUCCAGCCUCCAGAACUGUGAGGAAUAAACG